rnacentral:lncRNA from 1 species
AAAAAUUCACUCUUUUUCCACUCAUAACACCACAUUCUCACUUUCUAACCCUAGGCUAAUUCUACCCUUCAUCUCUAACAGUUUUCCAUAAGCAAUUUCAGCACAUGAACAUCACAAGCAUCAUCAUAAAAACCCUAAAACAGAAUGGGUAUGUUUAACUCUUCCAAACAUGGCAAUUUCAACACGCUUUCAACAAGUUUCUUCACAAGUAACUAUCAUGAAGUAGAAAACUAGCAAAACUACCCAUCAUAUCUCCCAAAACCCCAUACCCACGAAAAUCAAGAGAGAAA